UCAGCAGCAGCAGCAAAGGCAGCUAAGUACGGAGCUGGUGUUCCUGGCAUCGCUGGCGUUCCUGGCAUUGCCGGUGUUCCUGGAGUUCCUGGUGUUCCUGGUGUUCCUGGUGUUCCUGGAGUUCCCGGUGUUCCUGGUGUUCCUGGCGCUGUGCCCGGUGUUGGAGUGGGUGGCCCGGCAGCGGCGGCUGCAGCCAAGGCUGCGGCAAAAGCAGCGGCGAUCGGAGCAGGACGCGUGCCCGGCGUUGGCGUGCCCGGCGUUGGCGUGCCCGGCGUUGGCGUUCCCGGAGUGCGUGUGCCUGGAGUGGGUGUGCCUGGAGUGGGUGUGCCUGGUGCUGGCGUGCCCGGUUUGGUGCCCGGGGUCGGUGUUCCAGGAGGUCCGGCAGCCGCUGCCAAAGCCGCCGCCAAAGCAGCCAAGUACGGAGCAGGUGGCCUGGCUCCCGGCGUGGGUGGCCUGGCUCCCGGCGUGGGUGGCCUGGUUCCUGGAGUAGGUGGCCUGGUUCCUGGAGUAGGUGGCCUGGUUCCCGGUGUUGGAGGUGUCCCAGGUGUUGGAGGUCCAGCAGCAGCAGCCAAAGCAGCAGCCAAGGCAGCCAAAUUUGGUGCUGGGGCUGGAGGGGUGCCCGGUGUGGGCGGAGUGCCCGGAGUGACCCCCGGCGUUGGUGGCGUGCCCGGCUUGGUGCCAGGGGUGGGAGUACCUGGAACUGGCAUCCUUCCCGGGGCAGGCAUCCCCCAAGUAGGGGUGCAGCCCGGUGCUAAACCUCCCAAAUUCGGUGUUCCUGGGGUUGGAGUCCCAGGAGUUGGUGGCCUCCCAGGUGGCCUAGGAGUCGGUGGGCUCGGAGCUGGUGGCCUCGGGGUUGGAGUUCCCGGCUUCGGCGUAUCACCGAUAUUUCCAGGUGGGGUCGGCGGCCUGGGAUUUGGCGGGAAGCCCCCCAAGCCCUACGGAGGAGCCCUGGGUGCCCUGGGCUUUAGAGGUGAGCGCGUUUCCCGGCUGGCAGGGCCGGUUGUGCCCCCGGCCGUGCCCCCGGCAGUGCGGGCUGCGGGGUGCGGGCUGCGGGGUGCGGGGUGCGGGCUGCGGGCAGGGCUCACCCCGCGUUCCGUGCAGGCGGAGCGGGCUGUGCGGCAGGGAAGUACUGCGGCAGGAAGCGGAAGUAACGCUCCGUCACCGAUCACCUCAUGAACUUUGGUGCUACUGCAUGGUCCAGAAUGUAAAUCCGAAGCAAAGCUGAGACACCCCCUCCUCAGGCCCCGGAACCCCCCCCCGUCCAUGCCGGGGCCGUGCCCGGCCCCGCGUUCCACGGAGGGACCCCGCGUUCCCCGGCAGCGUCCGGGGCCCCCCGGCCCUCGGUCCCGGCAGGGAGCGCGGAAUAAAGUGCGGGGAGCAGCCGUCCCCCUUGGUGCU
rnacentral:lncRNA from 1 species